UACGAAGGGGGCUAGCGUUGCUCGGAAUCACUGGGCGUAAAGCGCACGUAGGCGGCUUCUUAAGUCAGGGGUGAAAUCCUGGAGCUCAACUCCAGAACUGCCUUUGAUACUGAGGAUCUUGAGUUCGGGAGAGGUGAGUGGAACUGCGAGUGUAGAGGUGAAAUUCGUAGAUAUUCGCAAGAACACCAGUGGCGAAGGCGGCUCACUGGCCCGAGACUGACGCUGAGGCACGAAAGCGUGGGGAGCAAACAGG
rnacentral:rRNA from 1 species